rnacentral:rRNA from 1 species
UACGUAGGUGGCAAGCGUUGUCCGGAUUUACUGGGCGUAAAGAGCGCGCAGGCGGUCGUUCAAGUCGAGUGUGAAAGCCCCCGGCUCAACUGGGGAGGGUCAUUCGAUACUGAUCGACUCGAAGGCAGGAGAGGGUAGUGGAAUUCCCGGUGUAGUGGUGAAAUGCGUAGAUAUCUGGAGGAAUACCGGUGGCGAAGGCGGCAUCCUGGACCGACAUUGACGCUGAGGAGCGAAAGCCAGGGGAGCAAACGGG